GACGUAGGGCGCGAGCGUUGUCCGGAAUUAUUGGGCGUAAAGAGUUCGUAGGCGGCGCAGAAAGUAGGGUGUGAAAGCCCUCGGCUUAACCGAGGAAUUGCGCUCUAAACUACUGUGCUUGAGGAAUCUAGAGGUGAGCGGAACUGAUGGUGGAGCGGUGAAAUGCGUUGAUAUCAUCAGGAACACCGGAGGCGAAGGCGGCUCACUGGGGAUUUUCUGACGCUGAGGAACGAAAGCCAGGGGAGCGAACGGG
rnacentral:rRNA from 1 species